CCUCCUUUCUUCCGCCGUGGGGCCUCUUGGGCCCUGGGCGCCCGCCUGCCCCAGCAACGCCGCGUGCAGGAAGAAGGCUUUCGGGUUGUAAACUUCUUUUGACAGGGAAGAGCAGAAGACGGUACCUGUCGAAUAAGCCACGGCUAACUACGUGCCAGCAGCCGCGGUAAUACGUAGGUGGCAAGCGUUGUCCGGAUUUACUGGGUGUAAAGGGCGUGUAGCCGGGCUGACAAGUCAGAUGUGAAAUCCGGGGGCUCAACCCCCGAACUGCAUUUGAAACUGUUGGUCUUGAGUAUCGGAGAGGCAGGCGGAAUUCCUAGUGUAGCGGUGAAAUGCGUAGAUAGUAGGAGGAACACCAGUGGCGAAGGCGGCCUGCUGGACGACAACUGACGGUGAGGCGCGAAAGCGUGGGGAGCAAACAGGAUUAGAUACCCCUGUAGUC
rnacentral:rRNA from 1 species